rnacentral:tRNA from 1 species
AGGGCUAUAGCUCAGUUGGUAGAGCACCUCGUUUACACGUGCGCCAAUGUUUUUCAAAGAAGCAUACAAUCAACAUGAUUAGUCUUA